AGUGAACGCUGGCGGUAGGCCUAACACAUGCAAGUCGAACGGCAGCACAGUAAGAGCUUGCUCUUACGGGUGGCGAGUGGCGGACGGGUGAGGAAUACAUCGGAAUCUACUUUUUCGUGGGGGAUAACGUAGGGAAACUUACGCUAAUACCGCAUACGACCUACGGGUGAAAGCAGGGGAUCUUCGGACCUUGCGCGAUUGAAUGAGCCGAUGUCGGAUUAGCUAGUUGGCGGGGUAAAGGCCCACCAAGGCGACGAUCCGUAGCUGGUCUGAGAGGAUGAUCAGCCACAUUGGAACUGAGACACGGUCCAGACUCCUACGGGAGGCGGCAGUGGGGAAUAUUGGACAAUGGGCGCAAGCCUGAUCCAGCCAUACCGCGUGGGUGAAGAAGGCCUUCGGGUUGUAAAGCCCUUUUGUUGGGAAAGAAAAGCAGCAGGUUAAUACCCCGCUGUUCUGACGGUACCCAAAGAAUAAGCACCGGCUAACUUCGUG
rnacentral:rRNA from 1 species